CGAUCACACUUUUUCACAGCUCAGAUUGGCAUGUUGGUGAACUUAUUAGCUUAGAUUUCACGUUAUUCAUGCCUACAUGAGCUGCAUACAACUGCUCUAAUCGGUAGGAUGUGGACGGACAUUGCAUUCAUUCCCAUUCAGCCGUUGGACUGAACCUGUACUGUCUGUAACACAGUAUGGAUGGUCAAUAUGAAGCGAGCUUCAUUGAAUUCCUCCAAGAGCUCUGUACUCCGUUCUGACCAUUUUGAAGAUGGUUGCUUUGACAGGACUGGGCAAGUGACUCGUCUUAGACAGGAUGCUGUCCCAACCAUGUUUGAUUUCCUGCCUCGUCUUCAGAAGAAUUCACCCAAGCCAAGGAAUUCCCCGAAAGAAAGACGUUUUGAUUCAGCAAACAACCUCCCAGAUACUGCAAAGUCUUCAGCACCUUCAUUUCUCGAGGACCACUCCUACUCAAUAUCAGAAAGUCCAAGAGAGGUAAAGUGGAAGAUAACAGCAAUAAUGGACUGUAUUAAGAACUUGGAGAAGAGGCUGAAAACCACACACAAGAAGUCCCGCCGUGUACAUUACUUGCUCUUAAGUUUGGACAAACAUAACUUGCAAAACUUUACAACAAAUAAUUACCCCAAUGUGCAUUCUGAUUAUUUAAAAUAGCUCAAUGAAAUAGUUUAUCAGUGGGCAUGUAACAAAAGUGAAUUCAUUAAAUUUGAACGUGUUGCAAAAAUGAUGUCUUACAGUAUAUUCAUUCUGACUUAGAAUGUCAGAAGAGAAAAAAGUUUGUGAAAAGUAGGAAUGACGGCAAGAUGACAGAAGAAUAAAACAGGAUAGAGCAAGGGGGACAGAUAAAGGACAAGUCCACCCCAAAAAUUGUUGAUAUGAAUAAAAAGAGAAAAAUCCAACAAGCAUAACACUGAAAAUUUGAUAAAAAAUCGGAUGUAAAAUAAGAAAGUUAUGACAUUUAAAAAUUUUGCUAAAUUUUACAAAAGAGUUAUAUGCACAUUCUGUACACAGUCAGUAUGCAAAUGAGGAGACUGAUGACGUCAUCCACUCACUAUUUCAUUUGAUAUAUAGAAUAAGGUAUAUUCUAAUUUUCUCCUUGUCAUGUUAAACAAAAUUUUAUUCCUCCCUGAUCAUGUGGAAUUAGCAUUAUUCAAUACUUUUUUGGUUCAGUAAAGUUUG